GACGAACGCUGGCAGCGCGCUUAACACAUGCAAGUCGCGCGAUCGGCGGACGGGUGAGUAAUGUAUGGGGAUCUGCCUGAUGGAGGGGGAUAACUACUGGAAACGGUAUCUAAUACCGCAUACCAUCAGAUGAACCCAUAUGGGAUUAGCUAGUAGGUGAGGUAACGGCUUACCUAGGCGACGCUCCCUCGCUGGUCUGAGAGGAUGAUCAGCCACACUGGGACUGAGACACGGCCCAGACGCCUACGGGAGGCAGCAGUGGGGAAUAUUGCACAAGGGGCGCAAGCCUGAUGCAGCCAUGCCGCGUGUAUGAAGAAGGCCUUCGGGUUGUAAAGUACUUUCAGUCGGGAGGCGUUACCGAAAGAAGAAGCACCGGCUAACUCCGUGCCAGCAGCCGCGGUAAUAC
rnacentral:rRNA from 1 species